UACGCACGCGCGUCCUCGGUUACGCACGGUUACGCACACACGUCCUCGGUUGCGCGCCGUUGCGGCGGGGACGGAAGUUACCAACGGCCAGCUGGGUUGCCUGGUGCUGCGGUGCAGCUAACAGACUUGGCCCAGCACUGAGCCAGGGCCACCAAGUAUUCUAGUUGUUUGUCACAUUGAUUGGCCACAGAUCAGGUUGUUCAGAAAUCAGGCUGAAUGACUGGAACUUCCCAUGGACAAGGUUCAAUAAAGGUUAUUAUUUCCGAGAUUGCCACAAUUCUUAGUCCAACACCACUGUUGAAUCUUGGGUAAGGGUUCCCAGAUGUUGGUGAACUAUGACUCUCACCAUCCUCCAACAUAGAAGCAAGGGAUGCUUUAACUGAUUUCAUCUUGCAAUGACGUUGCUUCCUGUGCUGUCUGUCUACACUCUCACAUAUUGGUAUAAGUGAUUAUGCUCCUGAUUCUUACACAAGGUUCAGCUGCAACAAAACAGAACAGUGCAUUCUCUUCCUUGGUUAGUUCCAGGUUGGUUCUUGUAACAAAAGUCAUUUAAACAAACGCCAGCAGCUAAGGGACAUUUGCUGGAUGUAUUUCAUUUCAAACACAAGAUCAAUGCAAAGCAUGUGAGGUUCUAUGAUUAAAAUUCAGAAUUUGUAAAAAUGUAUCAUAUUGUUAGUAACGUGUAAAACCUCAGAACACAGAAAAAGCACUGGAAUCAAAGCUAAAGAUGUUGUACAGCUUUAAUACAAUUAGGGCUUCUUUAAUAACUCUGCAAACUUGCACCAGGGCAGAAGCCUAUAGCAACCAAUCAGUAAUAAGCUUUGAUCAGUAUGUUGCAUGAAGCAUAUUAAAAGAACAGCUAUGCUAUGUGAUUUGCCCUGUGUGAGUAGUCCCUGCUUAGCACAUAAAAUGCCAAUAUCUAAUCAAGCCAUCAUACAGUAUUUUGGUGCACACACUGAUCUGUCUAAUUGUAAGGACCUAAGGGGUCUGAAAUAUAGUUUAAGCCUGUGUGCUGUAAUGCUUUUACAAACUUUACUGAGAAUAAAAGCGAUGCUUUAUUGAUUGGA